UGUGAGUGUUGCUUUGACCCCAGCAUCUGCAGAUUAUUUUGUGUUUAGGGUGCAUUUUGUCCUUCUGCUUAAUCAAUGUACAGUAUUAGGCAUUCUUACAGUAAUGCAUCUGCUGGUUUGCAGUUUGUCAAGGACUCAAGUUCUAUUGGCAUAAUUUUGCAGGAACACGAUUAAAAAAACACUCUGGUACAAUACAGGUUCCAUUUUGUUACAAGUAAAGUACAUUUCCACAUUCCCUCCUUUUUGUCAUUUCAUGACAACUCUACAUUUCACCAAAUACAUUAAUUGAAAUAUGUUUAUAAAGCAAUGAUGCAGUUUCAAAGCCCAACCCAAAAUUCCCUUUUUGUCCGUCCAUGUCAAUGAGCACCCAUUCCUUUUCUUAAUAUUCUCUUCUUCAUCCUGUUAUUUCUCACAAAAAUUGUAAAAGAAUAACAGCCAUUAUUCUAACACCAAUUGUUAUUUCAUAAUACAGAGUAGUUAUCUACCAUCUUCUCAGUGUUCUGAAUGGCCAACGUCCACCUUCCAGAGUGUAGUAGUUGUGAUACCGAUCCCUCACUUUCUUAACCUUCUCAGAUGUAGUUUGCCAAGUUAGCUAUAUUUUCUGAUUUAUCACAUAUGUAAGAGCAGCAUUCUUGCUCUAUCAGGGCACAAAAGCACCCCUUUUCUGACAGAAUAAAAUCCAAAGCCAUUCUGUUCUGGAAUGCUACUGUAUGAACAGCCAGCAGUUCUGCCAACAACUUGGUAGAUGCUUGCUGGGUUUGAUCAAAGGGACAGGCAGUCUCUUUCGCUAUUUUCUCCAAAGCCGAUGCCAUAUUAAUCAGUUGCUGGGACAAUCUUGCAGUCCCAAACGCAAGAAAAGCAAUCAUCCAAAAUCACUUGGCCUCUGGUGCCACCGGACCAAGGGCCAGGUUUCACAAAUGAAGCACUAUGUAGGCAAGUUAAGAGCAGCCCUUCCAGGGCCAUGACUCUCUCCACCUCCCCUCAUACUGAGGGGAAACGUCCGGCAGCCGGGGGUGGGCCCAGUAAGCACAUACCCAAUAAGUUCCAUUCAGCAAAUGGGGAGGACUGAAAUUUGUCUGUUCCGUACAUGUAACUGCUCCACAGAUAGGGGUCCUUGCCCCUCACAUUGCAGUGCCAUGUUACCUGAUCAACACCCGCGGCCACUGCGUCGGACAGUUUCAUGUGAGGAACCUGGUCCCAAUACUUCUUGUGACUGCACCAAUCCCUCUUAAACGGAGGAACAUACCAUGCAUUAAAACACUCGUAAUGGCAAUCUGUGUCUGUUUCCGGGUUUCAGUUUGUUUCCACUCAUUCCCGAGCGUGGACGCUGAACCCAUUUGUUGGAAUUAAAGGGAACCGCCCAUAGCGGGACUCCGCCUUCACCAUGGAAUGGAACAUGGGUAGAAAGUCAAACAUGCUGAAAUGUUCAAUCUUUGGGCAUAUUCAUUACCGAAAAGGAAAGAGAUAUAAGCAGGGGCACUGUUUAUAUGUGCCCAGGCGUCCCUUAGUUCCAGCUUCGCCAGUGGGAGCAGGGCGAUCGGUGCAGUGUUGAGGGGUAAUUCCCUCCUCCUCACCCUCCAGGAAAAGAGUACUGUGCCCUGCGGCAGUGAUGGUCACUUUACGUGGCUCAGCCGUGCCAUCCUAUCCGUCUCGUUUGGUUGGAGGGCCCAAAGUUGCGGUGGGACUUUGGAGAGUAAGAGUUCCACAUCAGCACUGAACAACAGCUCUUGUACAACCUCCGCUCCUAAUGUACGAGGGAGCGAUCAAAGAAAGUCCUCACCUCCUUCCAGUCGCCACAGACACCAUUCAGUCGUUUCCGGGACCUUCUGUCAUGGCGGUCCUCACUGAGCCUUCACCAUUGGUCCAAGGUCCUAGGUCCUUUGCGCUUCACUUCUGGAAACUGCCGGAGUCAGGUGGGGUUCGGUUUUCGGGAUCACUGAACCAUGCGGGGAAGAUGCGCGACUGCCACAGCACCGGAAUCACAAUUAUGGCAAUAUUUCAGAACAAUUUCCUUGCCGAUAUAGGGGUCCAAUUUCUGAUGCAUACAAUGGUCAUUUCCAGCGAGUACAGAGCGAAAACAUGUCUUGGGCUGGAACAUGUUCAAUCACCGUUGUUAGCAGUGGAGGAUUUCAAAGGUCUACAACCUUUCAACAAGGAAUGUGCUGUCAGCCGAUCGGGAUAGUGGAAUACGGAGAAAGUUCUGGAGAACGCUGGCAGGAGCUGGAGGAGGACAGGAGGGAAGAUGGCUCAGGAUACUGUACCUGUUGCACAAGGUGCUUUGUGCAGAUGAAUGGCUUCAGGAAAGAACCACCAAUACUCCUGUGGGAGACCCGUUUGUCCGAGGUGGAUUACGAGCGACGUUUGGAAGGUGGUGUGUGCUUUCACGCAGACUGAGGGUCCAACACAUGAGUGACAGACAAAUUCAAGAUGAGCUCCAACUUAAGUGCACAUUUGGCUGUUUAAGAGUAAUGGGCCCUUUUUGUUUCUUGUUCUUUCUUUUAUUUAAUAACUGUUUGCUUAAAUUAACAUUCUUAAAUAUACUUUAUAAAUUGUAUGCAGUGUACAACGCUAUUUCAUGUCGGGGGCAGUAAAUCACACGGCAUUCACACAAACCAGGGUUUGGGUGAGUGAGACAUCCCAACCUCACGGAUUUGGUGGGGCCAAAGUUGUACACAUCCUAGAUGUAUGAAGCCGGAGAAAGGUGGGUUUAAUCACCACGGAAUCCAGUGGCUGUGAGCGAGGGGGUAAUGAGCCACUUUUCCAGAGAUGCCCAGAAAAGGGGGGGGGGGGGUUUCAUUUAAUAUAAAUAUUUUUGUAAUGUCUCCUGAUUCAAAUUACAAUGUUAACACAAUGUCAAUUAUCUUAACAUAUAACACAGAUUUAUCCACUGUGUGCAAUGACUGCAAGACCUAGUCACAAAGCCCUUGCACUGGCUGGGCUCUGCUUCACCAUGCUUCUCGGUCACCUCUGGACCUUGAAUCUUGCAGCACACAGCCAAGAAUGGCACCAGCCAGUUUCAGGAAUUUGAGGACAGUUCUCCAGCUGCAGUUGAGAACUGUUCUUGUGUGUAUCCCAGGAGAAAAGCCUUUACAGAGCGAGGCUCAACUAAUAUCUGUGUGCCUUCCUGGACCUACGUGUUCUCUACAGGGAGAUGGGUAACUAUCUCAUAUCCAGUGUAGCCAUCACAAGUGUGUUUCUGAUCAUAUACAAGGGAUCAGCAGGCUGGCCCCUCCUCUCCCCAAGGCAAGGCCUCAUUGCUCGUUUCAAAGUUCUUCUGAUGAAGCAUUCUGUCAGGAUGUGUAACUUCUA